GAAGGAGAGUGGGCAGCAGCCCAGUAGGGCAGCACCCCCCUGCUCGUCUGAGCGCCUUAGGCCCUGGAAGCGGAGUUCCCAGCUGGCUGCCAUGGCAACGGCAGGCUUGGGAAACUAUUCAUCACGGCCUGGACAGCUUCCCCGCUUGCACUUGCGCUUUCACCUCCCUAAGUGGCUAAUUGAGGGACCUUGCCUGUGGGCUCCAUCUCCUUGCCAAGCCUCGUCCCAGGAGGACACCCUGCUGGUUAUGUCCCAGAGGAAAUCAAGCUGCUCCAGACCUCAGUACCUGCUUUGCAGACCCACCUGCCAUGUCUUCUCCUGCCGGGACCUCACCUUUGUACCUGGAUAUGUCAACCUAGUUCCUGCAUCUCUGUCACCCAAUGCAAGGAGUCGAAGAUGUGACAUACCAGCAGUGUUGGUGCCAGCAAACGAUGGUGCCAGAGCUGGAGGGUAUGUGGCAUUGGAGCUGGCCUUCCUCCCCUCCUGAGGGCCCUGGGCUUCCUGUUGUCCCUGCGCUCCUGAAUCUUCCUCAGAACUCGCUCAGAGGCCUCUCGGGGGCAGGUGCUGCCGGCUGCCUCCUUUCCCCCUUUAGUCCCGGCACCUAAGCACGCCACACCUGCUCCACAAAUAAUAACUUCUCUAGAGCUCUUUAUAGUUUACGAAGGGUUUGCACUUACAGUUUCUCAUUUAAUCCUCUCAACCAUCCUGUGGGAUAGGGUUAUUAUUGCUCCUUCUUUACACAUAAGAACCUGAAGC